rnacentral:rRNA from 1 species
UACGAGGGGGGCGAGCGUUGUUCGGAAUUAUUGGGCGUAAAGGGUGCGUAGGCGGUUUGGUAAGUCUGAUGUGAAAUCUAUGGGCUCAACUCAUAGUCUGCAUCGGAAACUGCCGGGCUUGAGUGUGGGAGAGGUGAGUGGAAUUCCUGGUGUAGCGGUGAAAUGCGCAGAUAUCAGGAAGAACACCCGUGGCGAAGGCGGUUCUCUGGGACGGUACUGACGCUGAGACGCGAAAGCGUGGGGAGCGAACAGG